UACUUGGACAGCUUUAAAGAGAAUGCAGACAGCAAGAGCUGCUUGCAUUGAUGUGUGAAGUUAACUUGUUCAUGUUGAUGUGCCUGCAUAUUAGGCAUCAUGUGCUGCUGGAGUAUCAAAUAACUUCCUUGUGCGCUGUUUGGCCCAGAAGAAUGUCGGCUGAAAUUGGGUUGGUCGAUGAGGCACAAUAUAUGUGUCAGGAUAGCUAGAGGUUUGGCAUAUCUCCAUGAAGAAUCAAGAUUCAAAAUUUUUCACAGAGACAUCAAAGCUACAAUGUACUGUUGGAUAAGGAUCUCGAUCCUAAGAUAUCUGACUUUGGUUUGGCAAAGCUUGUAGGAUGGCCUUUGAUGGUUGCUGUCCCGAUCGCAAAUUCCCAGGUGAUGACUGCCCACUAAGCAGGACAGAAGUGUCAAAGGGAAAUGGUAAUUCAUUGAUGGGACUUGUACAAUCCUCCAUCUGAGAAUGCUAUAGUAUCUUUAAGCCACAAUUCCAACAUGCUAGUUUGGGAAAAUAAGAGUAAGAAAGCUAAGUUGGCAAUUGACUGAAAUCAGCUAUUUAUCUUUUUAUAUCAACCUUUCUAUUUGAAAUAUUAAAACGACAUUUUCGAGCAUUUUCACCAUUUUCACCACAAACUUG